UGGGGAAUAUUGCGCAAUGGGGGAAACCCUGACGCAGCAACGCCGCGUGAAGGAUGACGGCCUUCGGGUUGUAAACUUCUGUCGCAGAGGAAGAAGAAAGUGACGGUACUCUGUGAGAAAGCCACGGCUAACUACGUGCCAGCAGCCGCGGUAAUACGUAGGUGGCGAGCGUUGUCCGGAUUUACUGGGUGUAAAGGGCGCGUAGGCGGAUUUGCAAGUCAGAUGUGAAAUACCGGGGCUUAACCCCGGAACUGCAUUUGAAACUGCAGACCUUGAGUGCCGGAGAGGAAAGCGGAAUUCCUAGUGUAGCGGUGAAAUGCGUAGAUAUUAGGAGGAACACCAGUGGCGAAGGCGGCUUUCUGGACGGUAACUGACGCUGAGGCGCGAAAGUGUGGGUAGCAAACAGG
rnacentral:rRNA from 1 species